GCACAAGCGGUGGAGCAUGUGGUUUAAUUCGACGCGACGCGAAGAACCUUACCUGGGCUUGACAUGUGAGUGACCGGCGUGGAAACACGUCUUCCCUUCGGGGCACUUUCACAGGUGGUGCAUGGCUGUCGUCAGCUCGUGUCGUGAGAUGUUGGGUUAAGUCCCGCAACGAGCGCAACCCUUAUUGUCAGUUGCCAUCAUUCAGUUGGGCACUCUGGCGAAACCGCCUCGGAUAACGGGGAGGAAGGUGGGGAUGACGUCAAGUCCUCAUGGCCUUUAUGUCCAGGGCUACACACGUGCUACAAUGGUCGGUACAAACCGUCGCAAACCCGCGAGGGGGAGCUAAUCGGAAAAAGCCGGCCUCAGUUCGGAUCGCAGUCUGCAACUCGACUGCGUGAAGCUGGAAUCGCUAGUAAUCGCGGAUCAGAACGCCGCGGUGAAUACGUUCCCGGGC
rnacentral:rRNA from 1 species